UUUAUUUUAUUUUUUGAUAGAUAAUCCGCGACGACGUCGUUGCAAGCUUCACGGCACCCACACACCCAUCUGAAUUUCGUUUCUGAGGCGAGGCAGACAAGACGGAAGACGGGGAUGAGUGAGGCAACCGUCACUGCCGGAGAUGCUACAACCAAUAACAACACCGAUGCAGGCCCCAGCCACACCGUCGGUAUGCGCAGGUUUCCGGUUGCGGCGCAACCCGAAGUUAUGAGAGCAGCCGAGAAGGACGACCAGUACGCUUCCUUCGUCUACGACGCCUGCCGCGACGCCUUCCGACACCUUUUUGGUACGAGAAUUGCUGUCGCGUAUCAGAGCGAGGCUAAACUUUUGGGACAGAUGCUCUAUUAUGUAUUGACAACUGGUGCUGGGAAACAAACCCUUGGAGAGGAAUAUUGUGAUAUAACUCAGGUUGCAGGACCUUAUGGGCUUCCUCCAACUCCAGCAAGACGUUCUCUUUUUAUUUUUUAUCAGACAGCUUUGCCUUACAUUGCUGAAAGAAUCAGCUCACGUGUUAAUUCUCAAGGCAUCACCAUGGCUGAAUCACUGUCUGAUGAUAUCACUGACAGUGAAACCAUGUCAAGCAGUCAAAUUCAGCCUACAUCUAGUGUUGAAAUGCCAUCUUCAUCCAAUUCAGGGGUUGCUGUUUCAGCUUUGUCUAGAUUACAAACCAGAAUCACUAGGUUAUGGUUCAGUGCUGUUUGGAGAUGGCCCUCGGUAUAUGCAUUCUUCCACCAGAUUUCAACUGCAUGUGUGCUACCUAUAGCCCGUGAAUUUCUCAUGUUGGCUCUCCGUACAAACCUCAUGUUCUUUUAUUUUGAAGGCAUUUAUUAUCAUUUAUCAAAACGAGCUUCGGGGAUCCGUUAUGUAUUUAUUGGAAAACCAACCAAUCAACGGCCUAGAUAUCAAAUAUUGGGUGUUUUCCUACUAGUUCAGUUGUGUAUAAUCGCUGCUGAAGGAUUGAGGAGAAGUAGCUUAUCGUCUUUUGCUACUCCAUUUCAACAAGUGUCUCUUGGUGCUUAUCAAAUGUCAGCAGGAAGAGGUCUACCUGUCUUAAAUGAGGAAGGUAAUAUUAUAACCGAGGACUCUGGAAAGAGCAGUGGUGCUUCAGAAUCCACAUCGACUUCUGAGUCUCAGGUUGGUGGAGUGAGCAAGUGCACGCUUUGCCUUAGCAACCGCCAACAUCCAACAGCCACUCCUUGUGGUCAUGUAUUUUGCUGGAAUUGCAUAAUGGAAUGGUGUAAUGAAAAGCCCGAGUGCCCGCUCUGUCGAUCUCCUGUGUCUCAUUCAAGUCUGGUUUGCCUAUACCAUUCUGAUUUCUAAGCAGAAACGAAGAGGCGAUCUCAGAAUGAAUGCGGAAUAUAUGUGAUCUGCCUUGGGCCUGGUUGAAUUGAUUAAAGUUAAAAACCAUGCGUGCAUGCUGUGGGACAGAGACAGACGGAAGGACGCCCUCAAACACGUACAGGAAGGUUGGCCCGCUGAACCUAACCUAACCUAACAUAACCAGUCUUUUAUAUGACUUGAACAUUAUGAUCGUAUCUAUCUGUCCGUCUCCACUACAGUUGAGCCUAAUUUUAUUGGUGGCUGGCUACAAAAAUUAAGAUAGAAUGAACCUGGAACCUAACAUUACAUCCCAUCCCAUCGCACACGUUACGUGGCCAACCACCGAUCUGUCAGACCCUAAAUUAGCUUGCUAACCAGCCAGUAGUCGAACCCUUGGGUUGGGUUGGAUGUUUCAUUCUACUUUAAUUUCCCAGCUUCCAUCGCUUGUUAUGUUAGAGUACAAGAGUGUCAAAGUUAUAAUUAUUUGGAAGUAGUUCGUACCUUGUGAACACAAUCGAGUACUCGCUCACUCGUGCAAAAUGUGUCUUUUUUUUUUUUUGUAGUGUCCUUUUACGAGUGAAGUGACAAGAUAAGUGGUGGACGCAAACACGUGCAACGUAUGGAAAGCCGUUGCUAGCCUAGCCUAGCCUAGCCUACCUAUGCAUGAAUUCAUGAAUGAUCGAGAGAGAGAGAGAAACAAACAAUCUAUAUAUGGAAAACCCUGGCUAGCCUAGCCUACCUCUUCUUCUUCCUCUUCCUCUUCCAAGUGAAAUUCCAAUAAUUAAAUUUAGGGGUGGGGUGUAUUGAUUUGAUUAAUCUUGGAUGCAGUUGAACCAUAUCUAUCUAUCUAUGUGUGUGGGAAUUGAUGAGUCAUUAAUUAAGCAACGCAGUAGUAGGAUGAUUUCAAGGUUUCCAACUCGAUCGAGAUCGAUCUCUUAUGUAUCUGAGUAUGUAUGUCUGUAGUGGCUGGGGCAGACCACUGUUACACGUGCGUGCAUCUGUGUGUGUGUGCGCGCUAAUUUGAAAGCUUUUACUUUAACCCCCCAGCCAUAUACUAUUAGAAUAUAUUAAUUAAUUAAUGCUCAUUGCUCUCUCGCUCCCCCACACCACACCCCCUCCCUCUACCGGUGAUUGUAUAUGUAUAUAUAUAUAAGCAAGCAACAAGCAGUACGUACGUACGCACACAAAGUGAAUCAUUUAUAUUAUGAUGCUGUUGCUACUACUUACAAUA